rnacentral:lncRNA from 1 species
AUAGGGUUCUUGAAUUAUAAGUGUGAGGUCAAUGUGCUUUUCCUCCAUAGACCUCAUUUCUUACAAUUUUCUGGAAACUUAGUUCAUUCACGUAAUCCCCAAUAUCAUAACUUUUCAGGAGGCAAUGACCUGGUCUCUUUAUUGCUAGUAGAUAUGGGCAGGGGUCUUCCGGUUCUCGUUUCUCUAGCUGCAUUUAAAUGCUGAAUUUAGUCAAAACUUAACCAAAUCACAAGGCAUGCUUACUAUCGUUCUUUUAUGUCGGUAACUUAUCUUACCCCUUCUAAAAGUGGAUGUGAAUCUGGAAGUUCAUAGCUGCAGCACAUAGAAAAAGAAAAGUUAAUGAGCUAUCGUUCUUUCAUGUCAGUAACUUAACUUACCCCUUCUAAAAGUGGAUGUGAAUUUGGAAGUUCAUAGCUGCAGCACAUAGAAAAAAAAGUUAACGAGAAUCUUAGUUAAACACUUCAGCAUUUGCGUAGAAUUAUAGAAACCACAUCCUCUUCAUUACAUAUUCUGCUUAUAGUGUCACAUAGCUUUCCCAAGUAAAGUAAAUCAAAUGGCGAAAAUAAAUGAAAACUUAUUACAUACUUACACUUGGUGCUCCGUCCUUAACCGACUUGUAUUCUUCCAUUUAGGCAAAGAGAAAGAUGCAGCUUCUUGAGUGGCAAUGACCAAAGCCUUAGACAAAUCAGUGUCCCUCGUCGAGAGAUCAGCCUCAUCUAUGUAACGUGAUAUAUUUUCCAUGAAUGCCUUGCCAUCAAAUGUAAUUCUAGGUAUGUCAUCGGUGUAUUGAUCUUCAAUUUUUGUUUCUCCAAUACAUUCAAGUGCUGGAUAGGUAAUAAGCUCAUUCCGGUGAUCUCGAAUCAAAUGUUCUGAACUUGAGGCUUCCCCCAACAAAGGAACAAUUGCUGUUUGAUUGAGAACAGAAGUACCAUCGGCCACACUUUCUACAGGUGCUAAAGCGGUAUCUGUAUUUUCCAAGCUCCUUUCCCCUGGUCCCGGCAGGCAGACUCUUGCACUGCAAUUGAUGUUCAAGUCGGCCACAGUUUCUACAGGUGCUAAAGCAGUAUCUGUGUUUUCAAAGCUCCUUUCCUCUGGUCCUGGCAGGCAGACUCUUGCACUGCAAUUGAUGUUCAAAAAAUAUUUACAAGUAUCAUUGAUAGGGAGAUAUAACGUAUGGUUAAUAAUCAAGGCAAUGCGGAAAGCGCAAACCUUGUAAAAGCACUUGCAAAGUGUUUACACUCUGCUUUCAUCGGACAUGCAUUACAAUUUGGGCUUGAUUUUGUACAG